ACAAUAAGUAAUUAUUUUAUUCCCUUUUUGGAGUUUACUCCUUAAGAAUCGAUUUUCAUAUAAGACGCCCGGUAUGAGAAAAAUAUGGAAAGUAAAACCUACUCAUCAAAUGGGAUAGUAACGUUUUUGGUGCGCAUCAUUUCUCGCGCACCUUUCACUUUUCAGUUGUGUGUGUGUGUGUGUGUGUGUGUGUGUGUGUGUGUG